AAGCAACAGGUCAAAGGAGCUGCUGAGAAAUCUUUGGAUUUGUUCUUGGUCCUUUCCGUACUCAGGAACUAUGGGACGACUUGUCUCACCAGCAGGACUGAGAAAGAGGGCCUGUUGGUUCAUAUUCUUUCUUCCUCAGAUCCUUUCCAGGCUUUGGAUGUGAGGCGCUGUGCUGCUUUAGGGUUGCUGAGCUACAGGGCAGCAUUCAAGAGCCUCCGGCAUUUCAAAUUUAUUGCUUAACUGUCUGGAAUCCCUCUUCCAGGAAGUUAUCCAUCUUCCGAGCAGCAUAUCUGAAAGUAAGCUUAAGGAAGAUCAUUGCAGUUUGAUGUUCUGGUGAGAUCCCCAGUAUCAGGGAUGUCUUACCCAAGGGAUCAGUUGAUAAGGGAUCAGAAAUUGCUCCCGUUUGCCUGCCUUCCCAGGCCUUCGCUAAUGUCCUCAGAGCCAGGAGUGAGCACAGUGACUUAGUCUCAGAAAGCGUUAGCCCUCUGAUCUGCUUGUGUUUUUUUGUACACCUAGCUACUGAUGCUUACACUGAAGUGGUGGGAUCUCCCCCACCUCGUCCUCCACCCUCCCCCUCCACCACAAUUGAAUGAGAGAGCCUUUAGAAUUUCUAUUAAGAUCUGCUUUCUAAAAUCUUUUAUAUUUUUCUUUUUACUAUCUCCUUAUAUUGUUGUUUUCCUCCCGUUCCUCCCCUACUUCAUUCAUUCAUUCGUCAAUUGUAUUCGCUCAUUGCUUUGUAUCCGGAGCCUGAACUUAAGCUAGUUAACACCCCUCCUGCCAUAAGGAUUUAGAGGUAAGUCUGGGAAUGCCUGGAUGGUUUGUAGGGUGGGCCCCCCAUGGGUCUGUGCCCCCGAAGGACAGGAACCUCCUAGGAAAGAGUCGCUCCACAGGAGGCGAGAGUGGAGAACACCUACUAAGUUCAGUUUCAGGGGACCAGGUUUAAGGUGGGGUUCAGGGUGGUCCUGGUGGAUUUUGGAAGCAGCAUACUGCCUGUCACUCAGCUGCCUUCCGACCUAGCUCAUGGGGACUUGUGCCUGAGCCCUAAGGUGAGGGCAUUGGAAUAAAAGGGCAAGUAAAAACUUAACUAGGUCUUUACUCAAACAUCCCAAGGUAACAGAAAGCAGCAGCACAGCAGCCCAGGGUCCGGCAGCUGUCAGCAUUCCUUACCCUGGGCAGGUGCAGCCUUGGAACAGACAGUGGUGGCUACCAUCAUGGCGGGCAUCCCCCCAAAGGCUCCUCUUGGUGUCAGCAGCAAUGGAGAGGUCAGCCCGGUGGGCAUAGGCAGGUAAGGAAGAAGGUGGCUGGUGCCAUGUGUAAUAGCAGGGCCCACGUGCUCAGUAUCUGUAAAAUAACCUAAUUGCUUAAGACUCCUAGACUUCAGGGAUAAUCUUGAUGUGAGGAUGUGGGGUUGGAGCAGCCACAGAGUGCAUCUGGGUAAAUCCGAAGAACAUUGUUUUUUGUGUCUCUUAUUAAUGAAGUUCCUGUUUCUCUCCAAGCAGCUGAGUUUGGGGGACACAACUGUGACACAUUCCUUAAAUCCAAUUUAGUUGCAAACAGGAUUUGCAGGAGCUUUGCAUGAAGGCUGGGGAUAUAAAGGGGCCAAUUGUUUAAAAAGAAGGUGAAAGAGCCACAGUCAAGAUAUAAAACCUGGAAGGAAGGAAGAAGUGAGGUGUUGCACUGGAAAACCUAGUCAAGCAAAUGUUCCUGUUGGAUGAGAAACCCCUGUGUCUUUGGAGCUUAAUUCCUGAGAAUGCAAACUCUAUGCCUAGUCAAAUCCCAACCAAGAUGAAAUUCAGUUUUCAGGCAGAGGUGCCUGUUUUUCCCAAAUGUGUUACUGCGCCCAAACAGGUUGGUUCUACAAUUCUUUGUGGUUAGAGAGCUACUUGGGGUCCUUGUAGUUUGAGUAUAUUGUUGGAAAAUUUGCUUAUCUGCCCAGCGCCACCAAGAACCCUAAAAUGUGAUAGACCGAGUGCCAGGCUGGGGGGUGGAGUCACACAAAUGACUGGAAACACCCCAUGUUCGUAAGCCAUGCUUGUACCUCCCCGUCUCCCUUCAUCCUCAUGGUGCUGCAGGGAGACGAGGAGGCAGGUACCAUGAUCCCCACUGUCCAGAUGAGGAAACCAUGAGGCACAGAGAGCCGUGACCUGCCCAAGGUCACACACAGGUGCAGGCUUUGUGUUUGAACAUUGGCCCCCAGUCUACGUCUUGGCUGCUUAGGCCCCUGCCUAGCCCUAUGCCUGGAGUGGUAACUCACCCUGAAUUUUUUUAGAGGCAUUCUAGAAGAUUCUGACAUUCAUCCAGGUUUGAGAGCUUUGUUCCCCUAAACUGUCUGUCUCAGCCUCAGUGGGUGAAUGGGUUAAAUAUAGGAACCUAAUUGCUAAACGUGGUUAGAGGGUAAAAAGAAGUGGUCCCUGGACAAGGAGAUGCCGUAUGAUGGCACAUUAGGGCAGGUAGCAAAGAAAUGGCAGUUCUUUUCUUUUUUUGCUUUUUAGGGCCACUCUGAGGCCUAUGGAGGUUCCCAGGCUAGGGAUCCAAUCAGAGCUACAGCUGCUGGCCUAUAGCACAGCUGCAGCAACACCAGUUCUGAGCAAGCCAUGUCUGUGACCUACACCAUAGCUCACAGCAACACUGGAUCCUUAACCCACUGAGCGAGGCCAGGGAUCGAACCUGCAUCCUCAUGGAUACUAGUCAGGUUCGUUAAUCGCUGAGCCACAACGGGAGCUCCGUUUUUUACUUAAUCUGUUUAGAUGUUUCGAAUGUGCCCAAAGUAAAAUCUUUCCUAUAGACAAGGCCAAGGGAAGGACUGGGACUAGGUGGACCCUCAUGGAUCCACCCCACCAACAACUACGAUCCAAAUUAAAAUGUCCAGAGUGGACAGAACUGAUCCCCCUGUGGUGCAACGGGGUUGGGAGUGUCUUGAGAGCACUGGGACGCAGUUCCAGCCCUGGCCCAGCACAGCGGACUAAGGAUCUGGUGUUGCCACACCUGAGGCUUUGGUCACACCUAACGGCUGGGAUCUCAGCCCUGGCCCAGGCACUCUGUAUGCCGCAGGGUGGCCAAAAAGAAAAACAAAACAAAACAGAAUAGGACACACACACACACACACACACACUGUCCUCUUCUCUCUUCAAAAUUCAAAUCUGCUGUAAUUAGACAUCUCCAAGGAUUUCCAAGGCCCAGAGUGUUAUAGAAGCUUAGAGCCAAAAGUAUUCCCAGGGCGACAGAACAGAGGGCGAGACAGUAGACAGAUUUGAGGGCAGAAAUCAGCUUAGGUAUUUGAGACACUACAGAGACCUGCCUGGGAAAAUAAAAGAAUAACGUUUAUUAAGACCUGAUACUUACCUAAUCCUGUGCUCUCCUGUGCACCUCAUUUCGUUCUCAAGUAGCUCUAGGGGUAGGUGUUUUAGUUCUGUUUCACAAGUAAGGAAACCAAGGCUUAGACAGGGUGGUGUUUCUCCAAGGUGACCCAAACAGUAAAAAACAAAC
rnacentral:lncRNA from 1 species